rnacentral:rRNA from 1 species
UACGGAGGGUGCAAGCGUUGCUCGGAAUCAUUGGGCGUAAAGCGCGCGUAGGCGGCCCGAUAAGUCCGCUGUAAAAGUCCAGGGCUCAACCCUGGAAAGCCGGUGGAUACUGUCGGGCUAGAGUCCGGAAGAGGCGAGUGGAAUUCCUGGUGUAGCGGUGGAAUGCGCAGAUAUCAGGAGGAACACCGGUGGCGAAGGCGGCCACCUGGACGGUAACUGACGCUGAGACGCGAAAGCGUGGGGAGCAAACAGG